UGAAAAUAAAAUAUUAAAAAUAAUCAAAACAAAUUUCUAAGAAAUAAUCUUUAACCGAUCAACUAGUGCUGCAAUUACCUCGCCAUAAAUUUAUCUUUAAUCACAUAAAUACGCAGAUCCGAGUGAUACACAUCUGCGUCACUCGAACCCGAAGUGUUACCACCAAACAGCCACUAACCGUGGACAAUUCGUUACCAUCGACCGCGGCAUCGCGUCAUUCCGAAUCCCAAUUACCGUCUGCAUCGCCUUCGGUUCCGCGAUAUCCAUCAAACCGUGGCGCAGCGUUCCGACAAAUGCAACCUACCCUCGGCCGUCCUCGAAGGAACGUGUUAAAAUCGCAAAUCCGCUCUCCGGAUCCGGUUUAUUCGGUUGGAGAAUUGCACGAAACUCGGCACGUCGGUUGCGGAUUCCGGCAUGUGUCCCGUCGAUUUAUCUCGCACACGUGGGCCAACUUUCGUUCGUCCCUGGUCAUGAUUUCGGACCACCGCGAAGUUUCGCCCGCGAUGGUGGCGAAGAAGCAACGAAACAACCGGCGAAACAGCGACACCGCCAACACCGACUAACGGAUCUCCGCGUCGGCCGGGAGGAAACGAGCGAAGCAAAAGCCUUUCCGUGCACACGGCUCGAAGAGUACGGGGAAAUAUCGUCGGCGAUGGAAAACAAAUUGUCGGCGAGCAGUCGUCGCCGGAGAGUUCGUCGCCGCGGCAGUGCGCUUUAACGACCGCUUUCUGUGAUUCCCCUAAUGUUUAAUAUGUAACGACGUCGACGGUGACGUUGCGGCGUUUCAACCCGGUGUGUCAGGCGUGUGUAAACGGGUCGACGGUAAUCAAUGUAGUUGUAAUUGAAUGCGAGAUCUAAAUCGACCGGCUGAUGAAUAAAAUAUUGAUGGUAAUGGAAUGCGAGAGGAUAUUCGUUUAAAAGUGAUUAUGUGGCGAUGCUGAGGGAAUGCAGAGGCAGUUAGUUUAUAACCAGUCUUGGUCAGAAAGGCCACAAAUUAAUGUGUACAAACAUAGCCAUUAUAGCCCUUAAUAGUACAUUACUAUUAAGGAGCUCGAUGAUUUAUUAUUAUAUUGUGGGUUGUCCAGAAAAUCAUCAAGGACAGAUGCUUUGAAACCCUAUCCAACUUCAAAGUUAAGACACUUUCCUCUGGGAUUAUUUUUGCUAUUUAACACAGCUUCUUCUACUAAGGAUACAAUCCAGAGAUGCCAUUGAUAGUGAGACGACCAACGUAAGUUUGAAAUGCACGCCUAUUAGUCCAACCACGUCCGCCCAUGUGACAGAAGACCGUCAGCCUGCUUCAUGACAAAGUAACAGACGAGAUAAAUCAGGACGAUUUUAGUCUUAGGGAGACAUGUCUGACAGAAAGAUUAUUUAUACCACUCAAUUGAUACUUAUUUUCUUAAAUAUAGUAACAUGUCAACUCAUUACUUAAGUUUUUCCUCUAGAAUUUAUAACGAUGGGAACAUAUAGAUGUUAUAACAUUUUAGAGAGCCAAGUAAUGUCAUAUUAGAUUUCACCAGUGAAAAAACCUAAAUAGAUUUCUUAACAUUGACUAGAAUUGAACCGUCUUCGAGUACCCAUUUUCGAUAAAUUAGUAAAUGAAGAGAGGUCUAAUCGUUGCAACUUCAAAUCUCCUCGCCAUGUUUCCCCAGGAAAAGGAUUAGUAGUUCCCAAAUCUGAAAGAUUAUAGUCCUAUAACCUACGUACUCUUGAACAAACACUAGAUAAUUCUAGAGUGAAUAUAAGCACUGCAUCAGUAAAAAUAAGUAGAACUUAAAAUAUGCUGAUACUCCAGAACAUGACAAGAUAAGGAAUUCUGCGCAAGUUGAUGACUAUUCAAAGCUGUGCAAACACAACCUAGCGCAGUUAGUUUUGGCGCCAUUAAACUUGCAUACUCUUGACACCAAUAAUCUUUGCACGUGGAAACACGCAUUAGACGCGAGCAUUUACACCAGAGGGGUUGCUCCGUUCAUGCGCGCGUCUUGAACAUCGCACGAGGGUCGUUUGAGCGUGGGUGUCUCUUGAGGGCUAGUGAGAAUUUCCGUACAUAAACCUGACCUUAGAAAUGUAGGGUUACGUAGGCGCUGGAUCAUCGCAACUGUAGUUCAUGCUAUAGAGAAUUUUCAAUGCUUCACUGGCAACUUCUCGCGUGGUAGGUGUAUUAAGAACGAUAAGGGAGGCUUUAGUAUAAGAGUUUUGUUUGGUAAAUAUAAAAUAUCUUCGACAUCUACUCAUUUUCGAUAGUACAAAUUUAGUAAUUCAAAAUCCAACUAAGAUUAUAGAAGAUAAGUAAUAUAAUAAUACUUCUAGAAUAAAACUACACAUUUAUCAUUAGUAUUAUUAGUGAACAUGUCUCUUAUUUUGUCUAGAAUUGAUAGAGAUAAUGAGUCAAAAAAGUACUCAAAUUUCUACCCUUAUAGCCCAGCACAUACUACUCAAUAAUUUUGAUUUACAAUUAAAUAUUUGGUGUUUA